CUUUUUACAGCUAGACCUGUGUGCUGCAAGGAGCUAAGGCUUUCAGUGUCCCCUUCCUUACCCAGGUUACUCACAAAAUGGAUUCCCAGCGGGAACUCGCAGAGGAACUGCGGCUUUACCAAUCCACCCUUCUUCAGGAUGGUCUAAAAGAUCUCCUGGAUGAGAAAAAAUUCAUCGAUUGCACCCUAAAAGCAGGUGACAAAAGUCUUCCUUGCCACAGAUUGAUUUUGUCAGCUUGUAGUCCUUACUUCCGUGAGUAUUUUUUAUCUGAAAUUGAUGAGCAGAAAAAAAAGGAGGUAGUGCUAGAUAACGUGGAUCCUGCUAUACUUGAUUUAAUCAUCAAGUAUCUGUACUCUGCCAGUAUUGAUCUCAAUGAUGGAAAUGUGCAAGAUAUUUUUGCAUUGGCCAGCCGUUUUCAGAUCCCCUCGGUGUUCACUGUCUGCGUUUCUUAUCUUCAGAAAAGACUUGCUCCUGGUAAUUGUCUAGCCAUCCUAAGAUUAGGACUACUUCUUGACUGCCCGAGACUUGCCAUUUCUGCCCGUGAAUUUGUGUCUGAUCGCUUUGUACAGAUUUGUAAGGAAGAGGACUUUAUGCAACUGUCUCCGCAGGAAUUGAUCUCGGUCAUUUCAAACGACAGCCUAAAUGUAGAAAAGGAAGAAGCAGUGUUUGAGGCAGUGAUGAAAUGGGUGCGAACAGACAAGGAAAACAGGGUUAAAAACCUUAGCGAAGUGUUUGAUUGUAUCCGUUUUCGCCUUAUGACAGAAAAGUAUUUUAAAGAUCAUGUUGAGAAAGAUGAUAUAAUUAAAAGCAACCCAGAACUCCAGAAAAAAAUCAAAGUUCUAAAAGAUGCUUUCGCAGGCAAACUCCCAGAACCUAGCAAAAACGCAGAGAAGACUGGGGCAGGUGAGGUGAAUGGUGAUGUUGGUGAUGAAGAUUUACUUCCUGGUUACCUGAAUGACAUUCCCAGGCAUGGAAUGUUUGUCAAAGACCUCAUCCUCUUGGUUAACGACACAGCUGCAGUGGCUUAUGAUCCCACAGAAAAUGAAUGCUACCUUACUGCACUGGCUGAGCAGAUUCCCAGAAAUCAUUCCAGCAUUGUUACCCAGCAAAAUCAGAUAUAUGUGGUAGGAGGACUAUAUGUGGAUGAAGAAAAUAAGGAUCAACCUCUACAGUCAUACUUCUUCCAACUUGAUAACAUAGCAUCUGAGUGGGUUGGACUUCCACCUCUGCCUUCAGCAAGGUGUCUCUUCGGUCUGGGAGAGGUAGAUGACAAAAUCUAUGUAGUUGCAGGCAAAGACCUUCAAACAGAGGCUUCGCUGGAUUCAGUGUUAUGCUAUGAUCCUGUGGCUACAAAAUGGAAUGAAGUAAAAAAACUUCCUAUCAAAGUCUAUGGACAUAAUGUGAUUUCACAUAAGGGGAUGAUAUAUUGUCUAGGAGGAAAGACAGAUGACAAAAAAUGUACAAACAGGGUAUUUAUCUUCAACCCCAAAAAAGGAGACUGGAAAGAUCUGGCUCCAAUGAAAACCCCUCGUUCCAUGUUUGGAGUGGCAGCCCAUAAAGGCAAAAUUGUGAUUGCAGGUGGUGUCACUGAAGAUGGUCUUUCAGCUUCAGUUGAAGCUUUUGACCUUACAACUCAAAAGUAAAUGGGAGGUAAUGACUGAAUUUCCCCAAGAAAGAAGCUCCAUCAGUUUGGUCAGCCUGGCUGGAUCUCUGUAUGCCAUCGGUGGUUUUGCUAUGAUCCAGCUGGAGUCAAAAGAGUUUGCACCCACUGAAGUCAAUGACAUAUGGAAGUAUGAAGACGAUAAAAAAGAAUGGGCCGGGAUGUUGAAGGAAAUACGCUAUGCUUCAGGAGCUAGUUGCCUAGCAACACGUUUAAAUCUCUUCAAACUGUCUAAACUGUAAACAAGGUGACAAAACAUAAUAGAUUGGGAGGCAGUUUGUUUGGUUAAUAGGGCUUUAAUUCAUUCUGUUUUUUAAAAGCUUGUACAGAGAUUCAUGUAGAAAUUAUUCAGGAAGUUAUUGUCUAAAAGGUGAGCAGUAGGUAUCAAAACCUCAAAGUCAUUCAACCUUCAAUGUAAUGAUUAGAGCUUAAAAACAUUUUCUAAUAAGAAAUUAAAUAUCCAGUUGAA